GAGUGAUGGGCGGUGAAGAUGGCGGCGGAGCGGAGUCGCUUCCCGAUGGACUCGCCGGUCCCUGCCUCUAUGUUCGCCCCCGAGCCCAGCUCUCCGGGGGCAGCCAGGGCCGCGGCGGCUGCCGCCCGGCUCCACAGCGGCUUCGACUCGGACUGCAGCGAGGACGGCGAGGCGCUCAACGGCGAACCGGAGCUGGACCUCACCAGCAAGCUGGUUCUAGUGAGCCCUACAUCAGAGCAGUAUGACAGCCUACUUCGGCAAAUGUGGGAGAGGAUGGACGAGGGAUGCGGAGAGACCAUAUAUGUCAUUGGGCAGGGAUCAGAUGGGGCCGAGUACGGGCUGAGCGAAGCUGACAUGGAGGCCUCCUGUGCCACAGUGAAGAGCAUGGCAGGACAGGUAGAGGCCGAUGUCAUCCUCCUCCGGGAACGUCAAGAAGCUGGGGGCCGUGUGCGCGAUUACCUAGUCCGGAAACGAGUAGGAGACAAUGACUUCCUGGAAGUCAGGGUAGCGGUAGUGGGCAACGUGGAUGCCGGCAAAAGCACGCUUCUGGGGGUCCUGACCCACGGGGAGCUGGACAACGGCCGAGGCUUCGCCCGCCAGAAACUCUUCCGCCACAAACAUGAGAUUGAAUCUGGUCGCACCAGCAGCGUGGGCAACGACAUUCUGGGCUUUGACAGUGAAGGCAAUGUGGUAAACAAGCCGGACAGCCAUGGUGGCAGCCUGGAGUGGACAAAGAUCUGUGAGAAAUCCACUAAGGUGAUUACUUUCAUCGACUUGGCCGGCCAUGAGAAGUACCUGAAGACCACUGUGUUUGGCAUGACAGGCCAUUUGCCUGACUUCUGCAUGCUCAUGGUGGGCAGCAAUGCUGGCAUCGUGGGGAUGACAAAGGAGCACCUGGGCUUGGCAUUGGCGCUCAACGUGCCUGUCUUUGUGGUGGUCACCAAGAUCGACAUGUGUCCUGCCAACAUCCUGCAAGAAACCCUGAAGCUGUUACAGCGCCUGCUGAAGUCGCCUGGCUGCCGCAAGAUCCCUGUUCUGGUGCAGAGCAAGGAUGAUGUGAUUGUUACAGCCUCCAACUUCAGCUCUGAGAGGAUGUGCCCGAUAUUCCAGAUCUCCAACGUUACAGGCGAGAACCUAGAUCUGCUGAAGAUGUUCCUCAACCUGCUGUCCCCUCGUACCAGUUACCGGGAGGAAGAGCCUGCCGAGUUUCAGAUUGACGACACCUACUCUGUCCCGGGUGUGGGAACGGUGGUGUCGGGGACAACGCUGAGGGGCCUGAUCAAGCUGAAUGACACGCUGCUGCUGGGCCCAGACCCCUUGGGUAACUUCCUGUCCAUUGCUGUCAAAUCGAUCCAUCGCAAGCGCAUGCCUGUCAAGGAGGUGCGGGGGGGCCAGACGGCCUCCUUCGCACUGAAGAAGAUCAAGCGCUCGUCCAUCCGGAAGGGCAUGGUGAUGGUUUCUCCACGCUUGAAUCCCCAAGCAUCCUGGGAGUUCGAGGCCGAGAUCCUCGUCCUUCACCACCCCACCACAAUCAGCCCGCGGUACCAGGCCAUGGUGCACUGUGGGAGCAUCAGGCAGACAGCCACCAUCCUGAGCAUGGACAAGGACUGCCUGCGCACCGGGGACAAGGCCGCCGUGCACUUCCGCUUUAUCAAGACCCCCGAGUACCUGCACAUAGACCAGCGGCUGGUGUUCCGGGAAGGCCGCACCAAGGCCGUAGGCACCAUCACUAAGCUCCUCCAGACCACCAACAAUUCCCCAAUGAACUCCAAGCCCCAGCAGAUUAAAAUGCAAUCGACGAAAAAGGGUCCCCUGCCCAAACGAGAAGAGGGAGGUCCCUCUGGAGGGCCAGCAGUAGGGGCACCCCCAACUGGAGAUGAAGCUUGCUCUCUAGCGGCUGCGCAGCCAGCUGCACCCGGCAGUCUCCAGCCACAGCCCCUCCAGGUGGAGGUGCGGCCACGGGGAACUCCGUUGCUCUGCCUGCCCUAGAGCCCCCGGCUGCGGGCCGGGCCGGGAGGGGCCCAGCUUCUCCGGUCAGGCAGGCAUGGCUUCAAAACCCAGACUCCUCCGCCAGCUGUGACACAGGACAAGUUGCCAUCCUCUGAACCUCAGUUUCCUCAUCCACAGCAAGAGGUAAAUGCCUAUAUCAGCUUGUUGCGAGGAUUCAGCGAGAGAAUGUGUGGGAGGCCCCGAUGUGCCCGGCAUGUGGGCGGUACCCGGUGAAUAAUGGGCCUCACACCGCUUCCCGCCCACGCCGGCUCCCACGUCCAUAGCAGAGGCCGCAAGCUGGGCAACAGGCUCAAAAGGAGAAAUGUGGCGUGGACACGUCUCUGCUGUGUAGCUGGGACUGUGCCCGGCAUUUCCCUCGCUUCGUGGUCUUUGAUGUUCGCAGCUACCGUCUAUGAGGGAGGUGGCGGUAGUUACGUUUUUCUGGUUAAGGACGCUGGAGCUCAGGAGAGCAGUGCCCCCAGCCCCCAGUCAUUCCAGCCACCCACUCCAGCGUGUCCUUCAGUCUGUCCUAGUUCCGUUGUCUGCUGGCUGUUUCCCUCUUGCAUUUUGACUCUGGUUCUGCUUACAGGGGCCGUUGCCCAGGGGUGCCGUUGUAAUAGGAGUUCUAGCGUUGAGCAGCACCCUGUGCUCUCUGUCCCCACGGUAGGUGCUGUGGAAUUUGUAUUUCCACAGGACUUGGCCACGGGGGACCUUGGAACAGGCAGAACCACAUUUUGUUGGAACUCUCCUGCCGCUGUGAGCAUAACCACUUCCUUUACAUUUUGAGGCUGUGGCCUCCACCCUGGCCUCUGCCUUCAAACACUCAGCUGUGAUGGGGCCCCUCCCUGGGCCAGGUGCCACGGUCAGGAUGAGAGGCGUGUGUUGAGUCCAGCUGGGCAACCACCCCUGGCCCUUGGAGCUGCUCAUUGGAGGCACUGAAUCUGGGGAGAUAUUUGCAGGGAAGGGCCAGGACCUGCUCCCUGGAACUGGCAAGAUUCUGGCUCUUCAGGGGACCCACCUCGUGCCAUCCCAACACAGGUAGGAUGUCCACCUGGCAUCUUUCCCUGGUUUUAGCCGAUGGUGGUAAAGGGACCGAUUGGUAGUAGCCACAGCAGGAAGUUGGCCUGGAUCCUUUUCUAUAUUCCAUUCCUUAUAAGGUAAUUCCACCCCCGCUACUGCCCUCCCCACCUGAAAGCUAUAGAUGCUCACACAGGCUCCUCCUCUUAACCCUGACCUGCAGAAGCUGAUGAAGCUUUCGCCCUGGGGCAGGAACAAAGCAAAGUGUUUAUACAGAACUCAAGCUACUGCGGGCAGGAAUAUAAAUAUUUAGAUGGA